UAAUACUCCAUAGGUCACGAGAUCUGGAAAGACUUGUGGCUCAAAGUUCAGGCGCUCUAGGAUUGGUCUGCGGCCUACCAGGUAGUAGUGGGUGUAACGGACCCACUAGCCGAUGACGGGUAUGGGCCUUGAGAGAGGGAGCCCAGAGAUGGAUUCUGAGACACGAAUCCAGGCCCUACGGGGCGCAGCAGUCGCGAAAACUUCACAAUGGAGGCAACUCCGAUGAGGGAAUUCCUAGUGCCAAUGCAUUUUGUGUUGGCUUUUCUUCAGCGUUGAUAACUGAUGGAAUAAGGGCUGGGUAAGACGGGUGCCAGCCGCCGCGGUAAUACCCGCAGCCCAAGUGGUGGUCGAUAUUAUUGAGUCUAAAACGUUCGUAGCCGGUUCAAUAAAUCUCUGGGUAAAUCGGAGGGCUCAACCUUCCGAAUUCCGGAGCGACUGUUGAACUUGGGACCGGGAGAGGCAAGAGGUACUUCUGGGGUAGGGGUAAAAUCCUGUAAUCCUAGAAGGACCACCGGUGGCGAAGGCGUCUUGCUAGAACGGAUCCGACGGUGAGGGACGAAGCCCUGGGUCGCAAACGGGAUUAGAUACCCCGGUAGUCCAGGGUGUAAACGCUGCAGACUUGGUGU
rnacentral:rRNA from 1 species